AUACGGAGGGGGCUAGCGUUGUUCGGAAUUACUGGGCGUAAAGCGCGCGUAGGCGGAUUGAUCAGUCAGGGGUGAAAUCCCGAGGCUUAACCUCGGAACUGCCUUUGAUACUGUCAAUCUUGAGUUCGAGAGAGGUGAGUGGAAUUCCUAGUGUAGAGGUGAAAUUCGUAGAUAUUAGGAAGAACACCAGUGGCGAAGGCGGCUCACUGGCCCAUUACUGACGCUGAGGUACGAAAGCGUGGGGAGCAAACAGGAUUAGAUACCCCAGUAGUCC
rnacentral:rRNA from 1 species